rnacentral:rRNA from 1 species
GCGGAGGGAUCAUUACCGAGUUUACAACUCCCAAACCCCUGUGAACAUACCUAUACGUUGCCUCGGCGGAUCAGCCCGCGCCCUGUAAAAAGGGACGGCCCGCCCGAGGACCCUAAACUCUGUUUUUAGUGGAACUUCUGAGUAAAACAAACAAAUAAAUCAAAACUUUCAACAACGGAUCUCUUGGUUCUGGCAUCGAUGAAGAACGCAGCAAAAUGCGAUAAGUAAUGUGAAUUGCAGAAUUCAGUGAAUCAUCGAAUCUUUGAACGCACAUUGCGCCCGCCAGUAUUCUGGCGGGCAUGCCUGUUCGAGCGUCAUUUCAACCCUCAAGCUCAGCUUGGUGUUGGGACUCGCGGUAACCCGCGUUCCCCAAAUCGAUUGGCGGUCACGUCGAGCUUCCAUAGCGUAGUAAUCAUACACCUCGUUACUGGUAAUCGUCGCGGCCACGCCGUAAAACCCCAACUUCUGAAUGUUGACCUCGGAUCAGGUAGGAAUACCCGCUGAACUUAAGCAUAUC